rnacentral:rRNA from 3 species
UGAAGAGUUUGAUCAUGGCUCAGAUUGAACGCUGGCGGCAGGCCUAACACAUGCAAGUCGAACGGUAACAGGAAGCAGCUUGCUGCUUCGCUGACGAGUGGCGGACGGGUGAGUAAUGUCUGGGAAACUGCCUGAUGGAGGGGGAUAACUACUGGAAACGGUGGCUAAUACCGCAUAACGUCGCAAGACCAAAGAGGGGGACCUUCGGGCCUCUUGCCAUCAGAUGUGCCCAGAUGGGAUUAGCUUGUUGGUGAGGUAACGGCUCACCAAGGCGACGAUCCCUAGCUGGUCUGAGAGGAUGACCAGCCACACUGGAACUGAGACACGGUCCAGACUCCUACGGGAGGCAGCAGUGGGGAAUAUUGCACAAUGGGCGCAAGCCUGAUGCA